rfam:Mus musculus chromosome 12, GRC primary reference assembly.
AAGACUAUACUUUCAGGAAUCAUUUCUGUAGUUCGUUACUGAAGACCAGUUUGCAAUAAAUUAUUUCUUCCUCCGCAGCAUCUACUUUGGU